UUACUCUUUUUUUUUUUUGUCUAAUAGGAAACAACAGGCAGCAAAACAUGGCUACAACAUCGCUGUGUAAUUUGGAUAACUCUCCAUUAUCUCCGAGGUCAAACAUGGCAUUGUGGCCAGUGAUACGCUUGAGCUUCCACCAGCAUUCUUCUGCAGCACGCUUACAGUGCAGUUUGUUGAAUUUAGUAAAAAAAAGGACAGAUCAGAUCCACCAUUCUUUCUUGAUGACUGGUGGCCCCUCUUCUACGACUGAUGCUGCAACAUCAAAGAAACCCAAAUACUGAAAUAUUGAACUGAACGUUAAAAGGAUUGACAGAGACACAACUUCCCUGCUUUGUUUCCAGUGUAUCAUUUGACGAGGACAGGCAAGUCAUUCAUGUGAAAAGGCCAGCGUGUAUCAAAGAGCUUUCAAGCUGUUCAUUUAGAAAGGCAACAGGAGACUGACUAACAGUAUGUUUACAGGUAUGUAUUUGGCACCAAACUGGAUUUGGGCCAUUAAAAAUGUUCCUUGCAGCCACCUUUUUAAACUGUUUUCUACAUCUCUGAGAAUUAGGUUGAAACUAUUAUUUUCUUACAAGCAAAAUACAAUGUUUGAGAUGUCCUUGCUAGGGCCCUGCAUUCAUCACCAGCUUUGUAGGUUUGUUUGAAUAUUUAUAGAAUUUUGAUGAGGUACUGUGGCUCAAUAGUGCUCAAGAACAAUGAUUAAACAUAAUACAAAAUCCUAACCAUUAAUCACAACAUUACAUGCAACCAUUUUGGUGUAGUAGUAGUUUUCACACACUGAUUGCAUUUUUCACAUUGCAAGAAAUGAACGGACUAAAUGAUCGUGUCUUUGGCAGUUUAAAUAGAAAUGUCACGAUCUGCUUACAGCACAUUUGUACUUCCUUAAUCACGUUUCAUAUAGCUUAUUUCCAUAGAUGAGCCUAUUGUGUCCUCUAACACUGGCUACAUCAGGUAAAAUAAUGCAAAUCAGUUGCUCUCUGACGCAGCAGUUGCUAAAUGCAGAGAAAGCUGAGUCCAACAGUAAUGAUUCUUGCUGGCCUGGUUUUGUACUAUCUGCUAAAAGGAGUGACUUUUUACUGGUAUUAAAAACAAAAAUGCUUUCCUCAGCAAUCAAUUUCACAAAGGGUAAGACGGGGAUAUUAACCCGAUUGGAUUUGUCGUUUAUUUUAGUCACUCUGAGUAAGAUAGCCAGUGUUAAGAGCUUUUUAUUCUGUAUUGUCUAUUUCUUUCCUACACUGCUGAUUGAAUUGAUGUUUUAUAUGCUUUUUGUAGUUCUUGACUGCCUAUAGCAUCAACAAUACCCAACACUUUAUGAUAUUGUCUAUCCCUCUGUUUUUGUGUUGCUGGAUUACACAACAAUUCCAUAGUCAGACAUGUUUCAACAAGCUGAUAUGCUCAUAGAAGGUGAUUAUUUAAUCAUGUGUGCCCUUUGUGUGUACAAAACUGGCUGAAAAGUAUGUCAUUCUUCUCUGUCAGAAGUUAUAGGUCACAACGAUGUAUACUCUUUUGAUAUCUCUAUUUGAAAUAUGUAUGCCUCAUUUAUUUAAGAGAUGGAAACAUUUGAAAAUGAUUGCACAACAAAUCUGCAGUAAACCACCAAAACUAGGGAUUUUAUUGCUGAUUUUCCACUCUACUAAACACAAUAGCUGGAGAAAAAGUGCCUUUUAAGUGUCCUGAUCAA